UAAGAGAGGUCUAGGGCGUUUCUCGUUCCUUUGCGUCUUUGGCCCUGGUUCUUCUACCUCGUGUUGGGUCGUACCUCAUCAGACCCAUCCGAUGAAGUCUGGGCCCGGAAACUCGGGUUUGCUACUGUGUGUGGUUAGCGCGAUCAGAGGGUACCGAAUGGAUCUUGGAGGAGGGAGGCACUCGCUGCUGGGCCUCCAAGAGACCCCCACGUAGACGUCUCCAGCCUUCGGUCUCCUGACUUGGGCUUGGAUUCCCGACUCCAAGAUCGAGUCACAUGCUCUACCAACCCAGCCAGCCAGAUGCCCCACAUUUACUGUUGGCAGAAAGCAGGCUUCCAAGUGGACCAGGAGUGGGAAGGGCUUGGUCCGCAGCCUUGUGAGGCACAGGGCAGUAAGUCGAUUGAUGUAGACUGAUCUGCUUGUUUCAAGUCUGUCCCAUAACAGGACUUUCUCAACUGGAGUUUGAAUACAAGCCUCGAAAAAGAUUGGCCUUGACCUUGUGCUUUUCUGAGAAAGGAUAAUUAAUAGUUCUGGAUGAAUCCGUCUCAAGGCUUUUGUGUAACCUGAAGACUGUCUAGGGGCCUGUGUGCAUUUUGAAGAAUAAAGAAUUAUUGUUGAACUGUGGUAAAAUUUCUAACUUGUAUUUUCCCAAUCUGGAGUAAGAAAAUAAAAUUCUUCAAAUAAAAA